rnacentral:ncRNA from 1 species
CCGCCCCCGGCGAAAAGGUUGCCACGUGAGGUGACCUUCUCAAGCAAGACUUGAGAUAGCCGAGGGUGUUUUA